rnacentral:rRNA from 1 species
GACGAACGCUGGCGGCGUGCUUAACACAUGCAAGUCGAACGAUGAAGCUGGAGCUUGCUCCGGUGGAUUAGUGGCGAACGGGUGAGUAACACGUGAGCAAUCGGCCCUUGACUCUGGGAUAACUGCGGGAAACUGUAGCUAAUACCGGAUACGAGGCUCGAAGGCAUCUUCGGGUCUGGAAAGAAUUUCGGUCAAGGAUGAGCUCGCGGCCUAUCAGCUUGUUGGUGAGGUAAUGGCUCACCAAGGCGACGACGGGUAGCCGGCCUGAGAGGGUGACCGGCCACACUGGGACUGAGACACGGCCCAGACUCCGACGGGAGGCAGCAGUGGGGAAUAUUGCACAAUGGGCGAAAGCCUGAUGCAGCAACGCCGCGUGAGGGAUGAAGGCCUUCGGGUUGUAAACCUCUUUUAGCAGGGAAGAAGCGAAAGUGCCGGUACCUGCAGAAAAAGCACCGGCUAACUACGUGCCAGCCGCCGCCGUAA